GUGUGUGUGUAUAUAUAUGUAUAUAUCGUGUUCUAGAUUAGAAAUUAAGAGAAGAGAGAGAGAAACGAUUGGUUAGUAAAAUAUGUAGCUGCAAGUUUACAUAGUGGAAUUGCUGACCAAAGUUUUUCUCUAAUGUACAUUUCGGAAAUUCCUAAUACUUAAAACUUGUUUUUCAGCCCGUUUCUGUCAUUAGAAAAUACAAAUAGCAUUUUUUCAAUCAGUUAAUAGUAUGAACAGUCAGUUAACAAUACAAAUAUGGUAGCAUUUUUCAGCCUGUUACUUACUGAAUGCGAGUCAUUGGCAUUUUUUCAGUUGGUUAACAAACAGUUUUUCAGUUAGUUAACAAAUAGCAACACUUCAGAAGCUUUUUUGAGAUAAGCUACAGAGAUAAGCAACAGUUUUUCAAUCGGUUAACAAACAGCAGCACAACAGUUUUCCAGUCACCUGAUCUCUGUCCAAAUUUCUUAUUGCUGUUGUAGGUCACCAUUGUAUUCGACCUGGGAACCUACAUACAGAUUUUCAUCUAUGAUAUUUCAGCAUCUUCUAUGCUUCCAAUCUGUUAAUUUAAUUUUACUUAUAAACGGCACAACCUUCACUUCUCUUUUUCCAUGUGUAGAAUUGAUGAUUGAUGUAGUUUCACUGAAUCAAAAUACUGAUGCCUUUUCCCUUCUCCUUGACAACUUUGCGAGAGCUAGGAAAGUAAUGGUGGACUCUCAUGAAGAAGAGAGACAGAUAAUGUUUGUGGUGAAUUCCUUCACCUACCCUGCUUAUGGGAAAUUCUGCAAUGAUGUCCAGCGGCACACCACUCUCAAGUCUGAGAUGAAUUCCUUCACCAGAGGUUCUCCUUCGUGAGUUACAUCAGCGCUCAGAAGGCAUACAUCGAAGCCCUUGACGGCUGGUUGUCCAAGUUCAUCCUAACAGACACCAUUUGUUACUCCCGGGGGAUCUCCUUGAUUGCGCCCGACAGGGCCGGCACACCGCCCCUGGUGGUGAUCACGAGUGGCACACCAUGCUGUCGACGACUGGAUCGAUCCUCCUCACUAGUGACUCCGGCAUAGGACUUGGCGAUGGGGAGAGGUCGUUCAGCGCUGCACAGAGCUGGUGCCAAGAACUAACUGUUGAUGUGGAAUCAGAUUUAUUAAAUAAUUAUCAGUUUGACUUAUUAGCUUGUAUUCAAACUGUACAGCAUUUUUGUUUGAGUAAUGUUUUUUCAUGUUCA